GACGAACGCUGGCGGCGUGCCUAAUACAUGCAAGUAGGACGCAGUUGCGAACGGGUGAGUAACGCGUAGGUAACUGCCUAUUAGAGGGGGAUAACUAUUGGAAACGAUAGCUAAUACCGCAUACUAGUAGAUUGACCUGCGUUGUAUUAGGUAGUAGGUAGGGUAAUUGCCUACCUAGGCAACGCUACAUAGCCGAUCUGAGGGGGUGAUCGGCCACACUGGGACUGAGACACGGCCCAGACUCCUACGGGAGGCAGCAGGAGGGAAUCUUCGGCAAUGGGGGGAACCCUGACCGAACAACGCCGCGGGAGUGAAGGAGGUUUUCGGGUCGUAAAGCUCUGUUGUGAAGGAAGCGUUACUUAACCAGAAAGGGACGGCUAACUACGUGCCAGCAGCCGCGGUAAUUC
rnacentral:rRNA from 1 species